rnacentral:lncRNA from 1 species
CUUAGUCGUGUGUACAUCAUUGGGAAUGGAGGGAAAUAAAUGACUGGAUGGUCGCUGCUUUUUAAGUUUCAAAUUGACAUUCCAGACAAGCGGUGCCUGAGCCCGUGCCUGUCUUCAGAUCUUCACAGCACAGUUCCUGGGAAGGUGGAGCCACCAGCCUCUCCUUGGUGAGUAUGUUUCUGUCAUUUUUAGGGUUGCUUCUGCAGUUUGCCUUGGAGUCUGGGCUGUGGGAAAGGCUGCUGCGUCCUGGUGAGGACACUGCGUUUCUUUCAGACUUUGAAGAUCUGUCGUUUUAGAAAAGUGGCUGCCUCUGUCACCAGCCCCAUGGUUACUGUCCUUUAGUGUGACUGUCAGGAGGUGUUUCUCAGUCCUUCGUUGUAAGAAUGUAGAUGCCGGUUGCACCUUCUGUUGUCUUGGAAGAGACUGCAGUGCUUGGCUGGAAAAUAAGCUGCUCGGGACUCCUCUGAGAAGCCAAAGUGAAGCUCAGAGAUGGAAGUGGGUAUACUUGUGCUAACCCAGGGUUGCUGAGGUUGGGUGAGCUUCCGCUUCUCCGAGGUGGAGGAGAGGCAGCUCCUGAGCCAUUUCUGGCCUCGUGGUCAGAGCUGCCCAAUUUCAGUGUGAGAAAUACCAGAGAGGCAGAACUUUGGCUGCCUUCUCUAAAAGCAUAUGAAUGAUUGCAGGAGCGUAUUUUACGUCCUUUCCUUUUCCUUAACGUUGAAAGUCACAAACUGUAGUAAAAUCAGGAAGAACGUAAAAAUGCUGGGGGCCAGCGCUGGGGGUGGGGGACUGGGGAGGACUGAGGAGGGGGCCACUCAGUCUUUGAGGCCUGACUUGAUCUUGAUAGGUAUUUCUCAGGCUGUUAGUAUUCCGAUGAAGCUUAGCUUUACUGUCAAGUAAAAUACAGGAAACAUUUUUUUUUAAUGUUGUUCUAGUUACUGUAAAUGAAACGGUUAAAAUGUCAUAAAUACCUUAUGAUAAACAUUUUUCAAAUUUGCUUAAAAAGCAACACAUCAGUAGGCAGGGUAUGACAGGGAGCUUUUUCAGUACAGUCAUUUGAGUGUGUGGGCUUCCUGAGUUAAUAAUGAGUCAGCACCCAAUUCUAAAAUUGGAGCAGCUAAGAGAAUGUUCAAUCUGCUCCUCAGCACAGCACGGUGGCUGGCCGGCCCCCCGUAGGAAGGCUUGGGGUUAAAAUCGACUUAGGAUGCCGCCCUUAUGUAAGUGACCAGCUCCCAGCUUGGGUCCCAGCUCCUCUGGGCUACUGCUGAGAGACCCCCUCUGCUAAGGGAUCUGUCUCUGAGGCAGGAGCUAACACAUUUGGCUUCCAACCUUUGGCUAAUGUUGACGAUUUUUAGGUUGUCUUGAGGCAACAGGUUGAACAUAGUUUCUGAAAUGAAAAAUCUAGUGUUUAUUAAGGCUAGGGCAGCUGAGGGCUGAGCCUGCAUCUGGAGCCUUGAGAUGUUCCGCUUGCACGUCACCCUCGCCGAGGGAUUGGGCGGGAGAGUCGGUCACCGAGUGAACUUCAAAGUUGGCGCUCUGCAUGUGACGUGUAGCGUGGGAAGAUUAAGUCAGCUUAAAAUGAGAGAACAAGAUUCCAAGGAAGAAAACCUCCCCAGAACCUUACUCGUUUAUAGAUAAAAGAAGAUAAAUAUUGAGAAAAUUAAAAAAAUAAAACGAAAUAGUUGGGCUGCAAACCAGCAGCUCUGGGACCAGAUGCAGCCCUGGUGAAGGCAUCCCCCACCAGGUUCUGUUUGGCCUGCUCAGGAUUGUUUUUUUGUGUUGAGAUAACUGUGGGUGGGGUCCACACUCUCCGGAUCUCAGGCCCUGCCACACCCUAAUGCCACAAAGCUUGGAGAGUGCGAUUACAGCGAGGCUCAGAAGCCAGGCUGAGGGCCUGCCAGCCUCGUGGGGCUGCUGUGUGGUCCCCAUGGGUUAGCAUCUGCCCGGCCGCCGGAACAGGGCCUGGAUGGAGAAGGAACUCCAUCAGCACUAACUCUGCUAGACUCUCUUAUUAAUCUGCCCUCUGAAGGCAUUUGGGCUUGUGGCCCUUGAGUUAGUUCCAUGGCUUUUUCAAGAAAGAUCCUGCAGUUCCAAUGUGAGCAGCAGUUGUUUCCAAGGCUAACAAUUUCACGCCAACUAGAAGCCUCCACAAGUCAGGUGCCAGGCAUUUCUAAGCCAGUAGAGCAGCUCCGCUUGUUUCUCUGGGUGAGUCCUCUCAGGGUGAGACCCUGUCUCCUUGUAAGCACUCGGAGACGUGCCACCUUCAUGGAGACGGGAGCCAAUCAAAGGCAAACUGCGUUAGACAGCUCUUCCAUGCGGUAUGGACACCAACAUUCGAUCAUCCUUGUUUCAGAGAAGGUGCCGGGCCCCAGACAUGUGCUUAUCACUGGGUCCCAUGGCCUUCAAUCCUUUAAAGGGUUUUAAGGUGGCUGAUUUUUAUCCCAGACAUUGAUCAUGUUUUUUUUCAUGCAGAAUUUGGGCAGUUGUCUGGACAUUAGGAGUUGAGUCACCUCCUACCCAUGAGGAACAAGCCUGUGGGGGGACUGAUAUUAUCACUUCUGUCAUCAAGAAAUAAGGCCGCAGGCAUCCCUGAAUAUAGAGCAUUUAUUAAUCGAACUGUGAAAAUGAAACACAGACAGUGAUGACAGCUGGAAGUUGGCCAAUGUCCUGUUGUCAUAUUGCCCUCAGCCUAGGGACUGGCCUGUGGCUCACUGACCCUGUCUCCCACUCUCCACCUCUCAUCAGCAACUGGACCUGGUGCACCUGGUCUACCUCAUGUCCAGUGUUUUCCGCAGUACCUGACUGGUAUCCCCACCCUUGGUUGUUGUGUGGUGAGCUCGUCCCUAUGUUGGCAAGUUACUUAAUUCCUAGGUGUCCCGCCUUCCUCACUGUAAAAUGAGAAAAGUCAUAGCACGAAUGUCAUGAGUCCUUGUGAAGAUUUUAUGAUUAGCACACAAGUUACAAGGAGACACGAUAACUGUUACGUACGUACUCAUUCGUUCGGAAAUAUAACAGACAGCUUAGUAUCUCCACCCGGGUCCCUCUGCCCUGUGGGAAUCCAUAAAGAAUUGAUUCUCAUCCCCCAGAAGUGAGAUCCCGCUUGUGUCAUCAAUUACAUGGCAUGUUCUGCAUUUACAGGACAUUUAUUUAUUAGGUAAGUGGGGAAUCCUCCUUGGUUCUCUCCAGGAAAACCUGGAGUUCUAGUUAUCAUCAUCAUCAUCAUCAUCAUCACUGUCAUCAUCAUUGACAUCAUCACAAUAAGAACUCCCAUUGUAUUCAGCCCUAACCGUAUGGUAGCAACUUUAUGGUAUUCCCUUUAACCUCCCCCCACCCCAAUAUCCAUCCUGGAAGAUGGGAAGGAUGAUAGGUUUGUUGACUCACUCAAGGCGGUGGGACUCUCCAGCAGGUAUCAGGCACAGCAUCUGCUUCAAAGAACACAUCGGCGACAGGGGAGCCCCUUGCACUCACUCAGGACAGGAGAAUCAGGAAAAGCAGCAGAUCUGCAGGGCUUUGUGUGUAAUCCAACCAGACUGAUGCCACAGGCCAGGAAACCGAGGACGGUUGGCUUCAGACCUACCCUGGAGUGGAAGCAGCUGGAUUCUGUCCUCACGCUUCCUGUCUAAAGCCAGCU